CUUUUCAAGCUAUUUAUGUGCUUAUGAGCAGAAUUUGAAACAUGUAUUUUCUCUCUCUCCUUGAUUUCUCCAGAAUUUGAAAGCCAUUUGUAAGUAUUCUUAGUUUCUGACAAUACAGUUAUUUGCAUAAGUUCGAUAAGAAUCUGUUUUGUUCUCUAGGACAUGAUGAAGACACUGAUUAUUUUACCAAGGCUUUGGCUGGAAUAGCAUUUCCAGAGGUGUCCAGACUGCGUUAAGGAAUUCAGGUCUAGGAAUUGACAUGUACUUCGGGACCUCAGGAAGAGAGAAAUUUACCCCAUGCAUACAGAGACAGAGUCUCAUUGUACCACCCUCAGUAGAGUGCCGUGGCGUCACACGGCUCACAGCAACCUCCAGCUCUUGGGCUUACGUGAUUCUCUUGCCUCAGCCUCCCAAACAGCUGGGACUA